UCUCUCCCGCGCUCAAAGUUUUGGUUCCCUCUCAAAAUUUUCGCCAUUCAUUCAUAAUUUCCGCUCAACCUUCAGUCAGAAUUUCUGCGGCUCAUUCCCUUCGGCAAUUGUAGUUAGGGUUCUCGAAUUCGUAGCGCCCAAGACCUCCGUCAUCUGAAGCCCACUGCUGUCCAAGACCUCCGCCGCCUCCAUCGUCAUCUGAAGCCCACUGCUGUCAAAGACCUCCGCCGCCUCCGUCAUCAUCUGAAGCCCACUGCUGUCCAAGACCUCCGUCGUCGUAGCGCCCAAGACCUCCGCCGCCUCCGUCAUCUGAAGCCCACUGCUGUCGCCGGCGACGAAGCCUCCUUGCUAACGACGUCGUUCCUGCUCCAUUUUUCUUCUUCCCCAACCAGUUAGUGUCUCUCUCGCUCUCACACCGGUGAAUCUGAAAAAAGAGGCACCACACCGUCGCAACGAAUCUGAAAAAAGGGGCAGAGCUGCAAAGUUCAGGUUGGAAGAAUUUUGGUGAUAGAGAAAUUGAGAAAAGAUAAGCUUGAAGGUACAUUUUGUGGUUAAUUAAGGAAUUGGUAAAAUGGAUAAAUUAUGGAUGUCAAAGAAUAGAUUAUCACAAGAGUAUGAGGACGGAGUCGAAGCCUUCUUGAAUUUUGCAAUCCAAAGUGGUUGUGAUGCUAACUUAAUCACGUGUCCUUGUGCAAAGUGUGCUAAUACUAGGAAGUAUAAACGUAGUGUCAUUAAAGGACAUAUAAUAAUGAAUGGUAUGGACAUGACAUAUAAGAAGUGGAUAUGGCAUGGUGAAGGACGAACACCAUCUCAACCAACACAUGAUACUAAUCGGGGUGGGCAAGGGGAUACGAGAUGUAGUGUUGAUGAGGAGCCAAUAGAUAUGAUUCAAGAUGCGUAUGAUGUCUAUGAAAAUAACCCAACCCAUUUUCAGAUGUUGCUUGAAGACGCUGAAAAACCUUUAUAUCCCGGUUGUAGUCAAUUUACCAAGCUAUCUGCCACCAUUAAAUUGUACAAUUUGAAGGCGAAACAUGGUUGGAGUGAUAU